rfam:Lupinus angustifolius cultivar Tanjil chromosome LG06, whole genome shotgun sequence.
AACCCAUGGUUAGGACACUUCCUAAGCAUAAAAUUGAAUCUAUCCCAGGUUUCACUGAGGUUUUCACUUCAUGCUUGAGUGAAUAUUGAGAUGUUGGUUUUGAGAUC